GAUGAACGCUGGCGGCGUGCCUAAUACAUGCAAGUCGAGCGAACAGACGAGGAGCUUGCUCCUCUGACGUUAGCGGCGGACGGGUGAGUAACACGUGGAUAACCUACCUAUAAGACUGGGAUAACUUCGGGAAACCGGAGCUAAUACCGGAUAAUAUAUUGAACCGCAUGGUUCAAUAGUGAAAGACGGUUUUGCUGUUACUUAUAGAUGGAUCCGCGCCGCAUUAGCUAGUUGGUAAGGUAACGGCUUACCAAGGCAACGAUGCGUAGCCGACCUGAGCGGGUGAUCGGCCACACUGGAACUGAGACACGGUCCAGACUCCUACGGGAGGCAGCAGUAGGGAAUCUUCCGCAAUGGGCGAAAGCCUGACGGAGCAACGCCGCGUGAGUGAUGAAGGUCUUCGGAUCGUAAAACUCUGUUAUUAGGGAAGAACAAAUGUGUAAGUAACUAUGCACGUCUUGACGGUACCUAAUCAGAAAGCCACGGCUAACUACGUG
rnacentral:rRNA from 1 species